GGCAGGGUAGCAUAGUGGUAAGGAGGUGGGCUCGUAACUGAAAGGUUGCGGGUUCGAUUCUCCGCUGGGCACUGCUG